rnacentral:rRNA from 1 species
AAUAUUUGACAAUGGGCGAAAGCCUGAUCCAGCCACGCCGCGUGUGUGAAGAAGGUCUUCGGAUUNUCAAGCACUUUAAGCUGGGANGAAGGGCAGUAAGUUAAUACCUUACUGUUUUGACGUUACCGACAGAAUAAGCACCGGCUAACUCCGUGCCAGCAUCCGCGGUAAUACGAAGGGUGCAAGCGUUAAUCGGAAUUACUGGGCGUAAAGCGCGCGUAGGUGGUUCAGUAAGAUGGAAGUGAAAUCCCCGGGCUUAACCUGGGAAUUGCUUUCAAAACUGACGAGCUAGAGUACGGUAGAGGGUAGUGGAAUUUCCUGUGUAGCGGUGAAAUGCGUAGAUAUAGGAAGGAACAUCAGUGGCGAAGGCGACUACCUGGACUGAUACUGACACUGAGGUGCGAAAGCGUGGGGAGCAAACAGG